UACAGAGGUCUCAAGCGUUGCUCGGAUUCAUUGGGCGUAAAGGGCGCGUAGGCGGGAUGGCAAGUCGGUCGUGAAAUCCUUCGGCUCAACCGAAGAACGUCGGCCGAUACUGCCGUUCUUGAGGGAUGCAGAGGAGAUUGGAAUUCCCGGUGUAGCGGUGAAAUGUGUAGAGAUCGGGAGGAACACCGGUGGCGAAGGCGGGUCUCUGGGCAUCUCCUGACGCUGAGGCGCGAAAGCGUGGGGAGCAAACGGG
rnacentral:rRNA from 1 species